CCUACGGGAGGCAGCAGUGGGGAAUAUUGCGCAAUGAGGGGAACCCUGACGCAGCAACGCCGCGUGAGUGAAGAAGUAUUUCGGUAUGUAAAGCUCUAUCAGCAGGGAAGAAGAUGACGGUACCUGCAGAAGAAGUCCCGGCUAACUACGUGCCAGCAGCCGCGGUAAU
rnacentral:rRNA from 1 species